rnacentral:RNase_P_RNA from 1 species
AGGGACUGUCGCGCGCCGGGAGAGCCGGCACGAGGAAAGUCGGGACAGCGUAGAGCACCAUACUUCCCAACAGGAAGGUGCCCGAAAGGGUAACAGCAAGUGCCACAGAAAAUUACCGCCUCCAAAAGAGGUAAGGGUGAAAACGUGAGGUAAGAGCUCACGCAUCGGGUGGUGACACUCAGGUGGGGUAAACCUUAUGGGCUGCAAGACCAAGUAAGAAGAUGCAGGCCUCCGGGCCGAAAGGGCUGCUCGUCCGAGUCUUUUGGGUAGGUCGCUGGAGCCUGCGGGCGACCGCAGGCCGAGAGAAAUGACAGUCGCCCCGAAAGGGGAACAGAAUCCCGCUUACCACUCUC